UCAAAGAAGAAUAAUGCAUGAAAUUAAAGUUAUUACACAGAAGUAAAUAAUUCGCAGAACUUCCUACAUUAUUUACUUUCUGAUUGAAAGUUUCUCGGAUUUAUACCAAUUAGUAUGGCGACCCGACUAAAUUAUCCAGUUCGGAUAAAGACUUGACGAGUUCAAAUAGUAAGUGAUAAAAAUAGAAAUAUCUAGAAUCAGUGCUUAGUCAUCUGCUUGAAGAGGUUAGGGAAAAAUCGAACGAGUGUCAUAAUAAAGGAACCUGCUGGCAGCUAUAGGUUAUGUGACAGUGUGAUAUAACGACGUUAGUCAUGCUAAUGACGUUGACAGUUCUGCAACAAAGUCGAAGCGACGCUGCACAGACGCGAUUUGCAUUCGCAAUGCAUUUUUCAUCAAGAACUGUGAUGACGGUCGAAAAAUAUAUAACCGGAAAUGAUGUCUUAUUAUCAUUAUAACCAAGGGCUAGUUCAUCUUAUUGAAGUUUCAUCUCUACGAUUCCAAGUACAGCGGCAACGAUUUAUGGUGUGAUCAUUAGUGUUAGUAUAAUGAUCAUUAAAUCCGUUAGGCAGAAAAGAGCUGCCUUAUACUGGAUCAAGUAACCCUUUGAACUCGUCAUUAUCUUCGAAGUCAGUCAUCUGACUCGUGUCCAUAUAGUGGUAGUUGGAUAUAUCAUUUAUCAAGAAGUUGAUGAUUUUGUAAGACGGUAUCACAAAGGAAAAGUUUAUGGGAUUUAUGGUCGAAUCGAAAAACUACCCUGGUCUGAAAAAAAAGAUAAGGAGGCCUCAAUCCCCAUUGACGGUCGAAAAACUUUGUUUCUUAUACCAUGGUGGUUAGUUAGGAGGUUAUGGUGGUAUAAUUGCGGUUUAUUGUCUCAAUAAAUAUAUACGCUAUACUGUUGGACGGAGCAGUGGACCAGCCAGGUCUUCCUGGGAUUCGAAAUCAGCCCCUUGUUUAUAGGAGUUUUAUGGGUCUGCUUAAUAAGGUUUAUGGUAUCUUAUCUCAGGUUAGUUGCUGAUCGCCACGGAACCGGAAGGUGGCUCUAACGAUCUUGGGACUUGCGGUAGGAUAUUUUAGAAUAAGACCAAAUUUUGUCUUUUGACAAAUACACAAUAAUGGCGUCUUUACGAUGAUUGAGAAUUCAAUCACAGCUGAUCUAGUUUCUACAAAUAACGUAAUCGAAAGCCAACGUAACGCAUUCGCGUAAUCUUCUCAUUUAAGGUUAUAUAUGAUUUUACACGUGGCUGCUUCAUUGUAAGAGUCGCACGUGUAAAUAUGUAAUCAAGAUAGGACUGUAAGUGAAAUAACGUUACGGAGAGUCAUGUGGGAAAUGACGUUUGUCACGCCAUUAUAUAGCCACUUGUUAUAUGGAUGAUUGAUCGAUUUCGGAAAGGCUCGAAAUUCGUGGAAACUGCCGAAAUGUCAAAUGAAUUUCUGAGGGUUUAUAAAUAUUGGAUAAACAGAAAAUAAAUUAAUCUUGAAAAUAAGUAAAAAUCAA